UACGAAGGGGGCUAGCGUUGUUCGGAAUUACUGGGCGUAAAGCGUGCGCAGGCGGUGAUGUAAGACAGAUGUGAAAUCCCCGGGCUCAACCUGGGAACUGCAUUUGUGACUGCAUCGCUGGAGUGCGGCAGAGGGGGAUGGAAUUCCGCGUGUAGCAGUGAAAUGCGUAGAUAUCGAGAGGAACACCAGUGGCGAAGGCGAGUCUCUGGACGACUCCUGACACUGAGGCACGAAAGCUAGGGGAGCAAACAGG
rnacentral:rRNA from 1 species